UACAGAGGUCUCAAGCGUUGUUCGGAUUCAUUGGGCGUAAAGGGUGCGUAGGUGGCGGGGUAAGUCAGGUGUGAAAUUUCGGAGCUUAACUCCGAAACUGCAUUUGAUACUGCCUUGCUUGAGGACUGGAGAGGAGACUGGAAUUCACGGUGUAGCAGUGGAAUGCGUAGAGAUCGUGAGGAAGACCAGUGGCGAAGGCGGGGUCUCUGGACAGUUCCUGACACUGAGGCACGAAGGCCAGGGGGAGCAAACGGG
rnacentral:rRNA from 1 species